AAUAUUUUGAUCGUAGGGGAAAUAGUAGCUGGAUGAACUAUCGACAGAGACCCGCUGGUGCUGUGAAGCGGGGAUGGUCAUCCGGUGAACUCAUCCUAACAGAUUGCCGCUGAACAGGAGUAGGUGGUGACGUCUAACCGCGUUAAGGCUUAGAGUGCUAUGGGAAUCCAUAGAAAAACGGGUGGUAACGCGGAUUAGAUUUCGUCUCGGAG
rnacentral:ncRNA from 1 species